rnacentral:lncRNA from 1 species
CUUUUUUCUUUCUCCAAACUGCUCCACAGAGGAGUCCACGUACAGCUGAAUCCACCUUCAGUCCCAGACUUGGUCAAUGGCUUACGAAAGCUCUGCAAGGUUUCUACUGGCUGUUAGCCCAUUACAGGACCCAAUCUAAAAUAUGACUUAGCCAAGCAUACAAAGGUUUAGUAUGCUACUCAUCACUUACUAAGGAUCAGUCACAGCAAGCAAGUCUCAGCUUCCUUAAGAGGUGUCCCUACCCAAGGGGAGGUCCUGUCACAAAGCCCACUCUUAUGCAGGAAAGCUCAAAAGGCUCUUGGGCUGUUUACUAUUUAUGGGGUAAGAUGAUUGACUCAUAGUCAUACUGUUUACCAGUUGAUCUCAGUAGGCACAUUGCUCAAAUUAGCCCACAGCUGUUGAGCAAGAUGCUUGCACAUUAAUUUCUCCCAUUAGUCCCUCCAGUAUCUUGCUUGAGCUGGACAAUAACCAGUAUUGUGGUUGCUGAGCAGGGCUCUGUAAUUAGCCCUCAGCUGCUAAACAAGGCUUUGCAAUUAUCCCUCAGUUGCUGAGCAAGUGAUUUGGGUCAGACAGUCACACUGAAGGCAGGGGAAGCAAGGGGAGUACACUGUCAUGCUUGGUGGAUGAAGCAUGUGCUCGAGAGGUCUGGACAGAGGAAACUGCCGUACCUGUCUCAUUUCCCUCACUUGAAGAACUCUCCUCAUCCCCAUGACAGCCUCGGUGCAGAAGAAAACAUCCUGCUGGCACCCUCACCAAGACCAGUGACUCCAGGCUAGUACAUUGCCAUAUGCUGUGAGGGAGAAGCAGCACUGGACUGCAUCUGUGUGGAACGUAUAUUGUAACAGCAGCUGACAGAGCAUGACAGCUAAGAGCCUGUCAUCAGAUCACAGAAUCACAGAAUUGUAGGGGUUAGAAGGGACCUCAAGAGAUCAUCGGGUCAAACCCUCCAGAUCUGGAGUCAGCCCAGCCUGCUCCCUUGCACAACCGUGCUGGUGGAGAGAAGCCUUCACAUCCCCACUUCCCACCUCCCUGCCCUGUGCAAAACAACAUACUCUUGCUUCCCACCCAUUUAAAUUUUACUGUCUGGCCCCUCAGACCAAAUUCUGCAUUCGUGUCAAAUUCACUCCUCUAAGUGCAGAAAAAUUAUUUAUUCCUACCACCAGCUAAUUGUACUUUGGCGAACCAUCACUGAAGUUAUAUAGAUUAAUAAAUACUCCUAAUAGGACUAUAAACCUAAAGAA